rnacentral:lncRNA from 1 species
GUGACUCGAAGAAGCCUUCCAAAAAGCGUGUGAAAAGGGAGCCCUCCUCUACUACCAAGGUGACUUCAGGGAGCACAUUCAAUGAGAAUACAAGAAGAUAUGCUGUGCACACCAACCAGUGUCGGAGACCUCAUGGCUCCCCGGUAAAGAAGAAGAGGUACCCACAAGAAGAUGACUUCCAUCAUACAGUCUUCAGCAACCUUGAAAGAUUGGACAAGCUUCAGCCCACUCUUGAAGCCUCUGAGGAGUCUCUAGUUCACAAGGACAGAGGAGAUGGAGAGAGGCCAGUCAACGCGAGGGUGGUGCAGGUGGCCCCUCUGAGGUGUGAAUCUACUCCCCAUGAAGACACCGUACACGACAUCACUAACGAGGACGCCACACACGACAUCGCCAACGAGGACACUGUACAUGACACCGCUAACGAGGCGCCGACAAGGGCAUCGCCAGCGAGGACGCUGCCCAGGGCAUCGCCAACGUGGUCGCCGUCCACGGCAUCGCCAACGUGGUCGCCGCCCAGGGCAUCGCCAACGAGGACGCCGCCCAGGGCAUCGCCAGCGAGGACGCCGCCCACGGAAUCGCCAGCGAGGACGCCGCCCACGGAAUCGCCAACGAGGAGCCGCCCAGGGCAUCGCCAACGAGGACGCCGCCCAGGGCAUCGCCAACGAGGAUGCCGCCCACGGAAUCGCCAACGAGGACGCCGCCCAGGCAUCGCCAACGUGGGUCGCCGCCCAGGGCCAUCGCCAACGUGGGUCGCCGCCCAGGGCAUCGCCAACGAGGACGCCGCCCAGGGCAUCGCCAUCGCUAAUGAGGAUGCCAUAUAUGACAUCGCUAAUGACACCGUACAAGGCAUGCUAACGAGGACAUCGUACAAGCCGUCGCUAACAAGUACACUGUACACAACAUCGCUAAUGAGGGCACUGUACAAGACAUCACCAAUGAGGACGCUUUAUACGACAUUGCUAAUGGCACCGACAAGGCACGCUAACGUGGACGCUGUACACGACAUUGCUAAUGAGGACACCGUAUAAGACAUCGCUAGUAACUAUCGCAAGAACAAAAAACCAAACACCGCAUAUUCUCACUCAUAGGUGGGAAUUGAACAAUGAGAUCACAUGGACACAGGAAGGGGAAUAUCACACUCUGGGGACUGUUGUGGGGUGGGGGGGGGGGAGGGAUAGCAUCGGGAGAUAUACCUAAUGCUAGAUGAUGAGUUAGUGGGUGCAGCGCACCAGCAUGGCACAUGUAUACAUAUGUAACUAACCUGCACAAUGUGCACAUGUACCCUAAAACUUAAAGUAUAUAUAUAAAAAAAGACAUCGCUAGUGAGCACGCUGUAUACGACAUCGCUAAUGAGGACACUAUAUAUGACAUCGCUGAUGAGGACAUUGUAUACGACAUCACUAAUGAGGACACCAUACAAGGCAUCGCUAACGAUGACGCUGUACACAACAUCGCUAAUGAUGACACCGUAUAAGACAUCGCUAAUUAUGACGCUGUAUACGACAUUGCUAAUGACACCGUACAAGGCACGCUAACGAGGAUGCUGUACACGACAUCACUAAUGAGGACAGUGUACAAGCCAUCGCUAAUGAGGACACUGUAUAUGACAUCGCUAACGAGGACACUGUACAAGGCAUUGCUAACGAGGACACUGUACACAACAUCGCUAAUGAGGACACCAUAUAAGACAUCACCAAUGAGGAUGCUGUAUAUGACAUCGCUAAUGACACCCACAAGGCAUGCUAACGAGGACGCUGUAGACGACAUUGCUUAUAAGGAACACCGUACAAGACAUCGCUAACCAGGACGCUGUAUACGACAUCGCUAAUGAGGACGUUGUAUAUGACAUCGCUAAUGAGGAUGCUUUACAAGACAUAGAUAAUGAGGUUGCUGUAUAUGACAUCGCUAAUGAGGACAUUGUAUAUGACAUCGCUAAUGAGGACGCUCUAUACGACAUCACUAAUGAGGACACUGUAUACAACAUCACUAAUGAGGACGCUGUAUAUGGCAUCGCUAAUGAGGAUGCUGUAUACGAAUUCACUAAUAAGGACGCUGUAAUAUGACAUUGCUAAUGAGGACACUGUACAAGACAUCUGUAAAAAAGAAGAUGCUGCCAAUGAGCCAUUGACAUUGGGAGAAUGAUACGUACCCUGAAAUAACUCACUUCCUGAGGAAAAAGCGCCAUCUCCAGGAUUUGAUUGGUGGAGAGCAUAUCUGAUGAUGGGGAUUUGUAGGACUUUAAAAAGCACUCAUGUUUCCAUCCUCACUGUUGACUCCUGGCUUAAAGGGAGCUCCUGGGGUGAGUGAGGAGGCGGGAUCGGACCCUGGCAGUCCUAUCGGCAGCACCUGUGUUCCUCUGCACUGGGCCGUGGAUGACAAUUACAACACCUUUGCCACUCCCACGGUCCUGUGUGUUCCGGAUAUUUUAAAAUAAUGGCUAUAUAAGGUUGAGCACUUCAGGAUAUGCUGU